ACACAUGCAAGUCGAGGGGAAACGACAUCCAAAGCUUGCUUUUGAUGGGCGUCGACCGGCGCUCUGGUGAGUAACGCGUAUCCAACCUGCCCACCACUUGGGGAUAACCUUGCGAAAGUAAGACUAAUACCCAAUGACGUCUCUAGAAGACAUCUGAAAGAGAUUAAAGAUUUAUCGGUGAUGGAUGGGGAUGCGUCUGAUUAGCUUGUUGGCGGGGUAACGGCCCACCAAGGCAACGAUCAGUAGGGGUUCUGAGAGGAAGGUCCCCCACAUUGGAACUGAGACACGGUCCAAACUCCUACGGGAGGCAGCAGUGAGGAAUAUUGGUCAAUGGACGAGAGUCUGAACCAGCCAAGUAGCGUGCAGGAUGACGGCCCUAUGGGUUGUAAACUGCUUUUAUAAGGGAAUAAAAGUGAGUCUCGUGAGACUUUUUGCAUGUACCUUAUGAAUAAGGACCGGCUAAUUCCGUGCCAGCAGCCGCGGUAAUACGGAAGGUCCGGGCGUUAUCCGGAUUUAUUGGGUUUAAAGGGAGCGUAGGCCGGAGAUUAAGCGUGUUGUGAAAUGUAGACGCUCAACGUCUGCACUGCAGCGCGAACUGGUUUCCUUGAGUACGCACAAAGUGGGCGGAAUUCGUGGUGUAGCGGUGAAAUGCUUAGAUAUCACGAAGAACUCCGAUUGCGAAGGCAGCUCACUGGAGCGCAACUGACGCUGAAGCUCGAAAGUGCGGGUAUCGAACAGGAUUAGAUACCCUGGUAGUCCGCACGGUAAACGAUGGAUGCCCGCUGUUGGUCUGAAUAGGUCAGCGGCCAAG
rnacentral:rRNA from 1 species